rnacentral:rRNA from 1 species
AGUUUGAUCAUGGCUCAGAACGAACGCUGGCGGCAUGCCUAACACAUGCAAGUCGAACGAGACCUUCGGGUCUAGUGGCGCACGGGUGCGUAACGCGUGGGAAUCUGCCCUUGGGUUCGGAAUAACAGUUAGAAAUGACUGCUAAUACCGGAUAAUGUCUUCGGACCAAAGAUUUAUCGCCCAGGGAUGAGCCCGCGUAGGAUUAGCUAGUUGGUGAGGUAAAGGCUCACCAAGGCGACGAUCCUUAGCUGGUCUGAGAGGAUGAUCAGCCACACUGGGACUGAGACACGGCCCAGACUCCUACGGGAGGCAGCAGUGGGGAAUAUUGGACAAUGGGCGAAAGCCUGAUCCAGCAAUGCCGCGUGAGUGAUGAAGGCCUUAGGGUUGUAAAGCUCUUUUACCCGGGAUGAUAAUGACUGUACCGGAAGAAUAAGCCCCGGCUAACUUCGUG